rnacentral:tRNA from 1 species
ACCACCGUAGCUCGAUCAGCGAGAGCACCGCAGUACCAAUCUGGAGGCCGAGGGUUCGAAUCCCGCCGGUCGUC